AGAGAUGAGGGAUCCUGAGGUCACUGUGCCAUGUGGGACAUCAACUGAAUGUGCCAAAGAAUGUGAACAUGAGUCUUCUCACAAGGAACUGGUGUAACACUACAGAAGAAUUUAAGACAAUUGGACAGCAUGCUAAGAGAAGAUACAUAAGCAUCUGCAUGAGAAGAUGAUUAUUUCUUUAAGAAGAGAUCAAAAACGGGGAGAGGUAAUGCUGGUUGAAGUUGAAGAGGCUGAAAAAUUCUCCUCAUGCAGUCCACUGUUACAUGUUCUUGCCUUGGAGCAGAAGCCAAAGUUUCUGUUCGUAACAGAAUCGUUGUAUCAUUAAGGAAUUGAGGCUCCAUUGCUUCA